rnacentral:lncRNA from 1 species
GGCGGAGUCAGGGGCGGGGCCCCGGUGAGCUUUGGGAGAAGAGGGGUCUCUGGCGGCGGCUUGGGGAGGAGCUAGGUUUGGGCUUGGAGUUGGGCCCUGAAUGGCGCUUUGCUGUGAAUCUCCGCGGGGAGGCUCUUCCAACCAGGGGCUGAGCUUCUGCGCUGUGGAGAAGCCAGGCUCCUGAUGUCUUAUUGGGGGCCAUAUCUAGAGUGAUGCCCUAGUUCGCGUGGCUGAAGAUGGCUUGCCACCCUACCUGCUGAUUGCAUUCUGACUGGGUCUCACUCUAUCACCCAGGCUAAAGUGCAGUGGCGAGAU